rnacentral:lncRNA from 1 species
AAAAAGCUCGCCUGUUUUCGGCUAAGGGACCCUUUUAUAGUGGCUGGCCAGACCACGUUCGGGGGCCAAAUGUGCCUCCGCAUGCAUGCCAUGUUCGGCGGCCGAACUUGAGGUUCGGCGGCCGAACCUGGACUUCCCUCACUUAUGCCUUCGGGGGCCUAAAGCACACCCGCAACGCAUGCAUGUUCGUCAGCCGAACUUGAGGUUCGGCGGCCGAACCUGAGUUUUCCUCCAAUGCUAUUUUCAUGCAAAAACUCAUUUUCUUUCAUGCUUAAAACAUAAAACACAUUAAUACAUUUUAUAAAAACAUGGUUUUACCCUACUAGAGGCUUCCGACAUCCGAGAUUCCACCGGACGGUAGGAAUCCCGAUACCAGAGUCUAGCCGGGUAUUACA